GUAAUAGCUUAGAAUCAAACAUAGGCUUAGUGGUCUCUAUAAAUAGAGAUAGAUAGCAAGGGAGAGACUCAUAUGUCGAACUCCGACAUAGUUAAAUCAGCAGCGCACCAAGUUCAGACCAGACCAGACCAGACCAGAUCGCAAUUCCUGUCCGAAGAUGGAUUUCCGAGCUCUCAAACGCACGCCUCUCUCCUUCUUCCUUCUCAUCAUCUCUCUUUCACUGUUUGAGUGUAUUGUUAUUACAAGUGGUGUAAGAGACUUAGAUCCGACGGCGAGAAGCUACUGGAAGAGCCGAAUGAAGGAGGAGCCAAUGCCCGACGCAAUCGCAGAUCUCAUCCGUCCGAUCAAUCCACCGUCGCCUUCGCCUACACCGUCGGAUUAUUAUCCGUUUGUUAGAGAUUUUAAGACAAAACACACUUUCAUUAUUUACCACAGCCGCCCCGACAAUCGGCCUCUCGGAUCGAAACCCUAAUUCAUCUCAAUUGGGGGCUGACUAGUUAUGCAUCCCUCUUAUGUAUGUAUCUAUCUAUUAUUACAGCUGGAUAGGAUCGUGCCCAUUUUUUCCAACAUUGUAUUUUUUUUUUAGUUUAAUAUAUUAAACUUUUUAGUAGGAUA